UGGGGGCUCGUCUAAUGGUAGGACAGCGGACUCUGACUCCGUAUGUAGAGGUUCGAAUCCUUUGCCCCCAGCAA
rnacentral:tRNA from 4 species